rnacentral:rRNA from 1 species
CCUACGGGUGGCAGCAGUGGGGAAUAUUGCGCAAUGGGCGAAAGCCUGACGCAGCGACGCCGCGUGAGGGAUGAAGGUCUUCGGAUCGGAAACCUCUGUCAGCAGGGAAGAACGGUCACUGUGCUAAUCAGCAGUGAAUUGACGGUACCUGCAAAGGAAGCACCGGCUAACUCCGUGCCAGCAGCCGCGGGAAUACGGAGGGGGCGAGCUUUACUCGGAAUUACUGGGCGGAAAGCGCUCGUAGGCGGUAUGUCAAGUCAAGGGUGAAAUCCCCGCGCUCAACGUGGGAACUGCCUUUGAAACUGGCAAACUGGAGUGUGUGAGAGGUUAGUGGAAUUCCCGGUGUAGUCGU